rnacentral:rRNA from 1 species
AUUGAACGCUGGCGGCAUGCCUUACACAUGCAAGUCGAACGGCAGCACGGGAGCUUGCUCCUGGUGGCGAGUGGCGAACGGGUGAGUAAAGUAUCGGAACAUGCCCUGAAGUGGGGGAUAACGUAGCGAAAGUUACGCUAAUACCGCAUAUUCUGUGAGCAGGAAAGCAGGGGAUCGCAAGACCUUGCGCUGAUUGAGCGGCCGAUAUCCGAUUAGCUAGUUGGUGAGGUAAAGGCUCACCAAGGCGACGAUCUGUAGCGGGUCUGAGAGGAUGAUCCGCCACACUGGAACUGAGACACGGUCCAGACUCCUACGGGAGGCAGCAGUGGGGAAUUUUGGACAAUGGGGGCAACCCUGAUCCAGCCAUGCCGCGUGAGUGAAGAAGGCCUUCGGGUUGUAAAGCUCUUUCGGCCGGGAAGAAAUCGUAUCAGCUAAUACCUGGUGCGGAUGACGGUACCGGCAUAAGAAGCACCGGCUAACUACGUGCCAGCCGCCGCAGUAACAC